rnacentral:sRNA from 1 species
AUAUUCUGCCCCACGGGAAGGAUGAGAAGCUUCGACCAAGGUUCGACUCGAGCGAAGCGAGAGAACGUUGCCGCAGGCAACGGCCCGAAGGGCGAGGCGCUUUAGCGCCGAGUAAUCCUUCCCCCACCACCA